AGAUCAUGUUGUGGACAAUUCCUUAGUAAGCCUUUGUACCUCUCCCACUCCUCAUAAAGUGAUUCUCCGGCUUGUUGCUCAAAAUUAGCUAUAGCUUUCUUCAACUU